CCGUGGGAAACGUGGGUCUAAUACCGGAUAGGAGCCAUUUUUAGUGUGAUGGUUGGAAAGUUUUUUCGGUGUAGGAUGAGCUCGCGGCCUAUCAGCUUGUUGGUGGGGUAAUGGCCUACCAAGGCGGCGACGGGUAGCCGGCCUGAGAGGGUGGACGGCCACAUUGGGACUGAGAUACGGCCCAG
rnacentral:rRNA from 1 species